GAAAAACCCACGCCGUUAGACAAAGAGCAAGGAUUUAGAAUGGGGGAUUUUUUUCGGGGCUGCUCCCAAAACUUGAAAACAGUGUACCAUUCCAGAGUGAGUUUAUAAUUAGUUUCAUUGUGUUGAUGUAAGCUGAAGAUAUGACUUUCAUGGAGUAUCAAACAUAUAGGGCCAAGGAAUUCAAUGAAACACAUCUGUUGUGACUAUAACAAUCGAAAUGUGUGAAAACUUUUCAGACAAUUGUGAAACUGUGACCAUUGGGAUGCUGUAAACUCUUGAUAUCUAUUGACAAUGGAUUAUACUGUGGAUUUAUAUCGUUCAUUUUGUUAAGAAUACAGUUGGAAAAUUUU
rnacentral:sRNA from 1 species